UACGUAGGGUGCAAGCGUUAAUCGGAAUUACUGGGCGUAAAGCGUGCGCAGGCGGUUAUGUAAGACAGAUGUGAAAUGCCCGGGCUUAACCUGGGAACUGCAUUUGUGACUGCAUGGCUAGAGUUUGGCAGAGGGGGGUAGAAUUCCACGUGUAGCAGUGAAAUGCGUAGAUAUGUGGAGGAACACCGAUGGCGAAGGCAGCCCCCUGGGUCAAGACUGACGAUCAUGCACGAAAGCGUGGGGAGCAAACAGG
rnacentral:rRNA from 1 species